CUACUGUUUUCUACCAUCUGGGUGGG
rnacentral:piRNA from 1 species